rnacentral:rRNA from 1 species
GGGGUCCUUCGGGACUUAGUGGCGGACGGGUGAGUAACGCGUGAGGAUCUGGCUUCAGGACGGGGAUAACAUUGGGAAACUGAUGCUAAUACCCGAUAUGGCGAGAGCUGAAAGAUUAAUUGCCUGAAGAUGAACUCGCGUCCGAUUAGCUAGUUGGAGUGGUAAAGGCMCCCCCARGGCGAUGAUCGGUAGCUGGUCUGAGAGGAUGAUCAGCCACACUGGGACUGAGACACGGCCCAGACUCCUACGGGAGGCAGCAGUGGGGAAUUUUCCGCAAUGGGCGAAAGCCUGACGGAGCAAUACCGCGUGCGGGAGGACGGCCUUUGGGUUGUAAACCGCUUUUCUCAGGGAAGAAGAUCUGACGGUACCUGAGGAAUCAGCAUCGGCUAACUCCGUGCCAGCAGCCGCGGUAAUACGGAGGAUGCAAGCGUUAUCCGGAAUUAUUGGGCGUAAAGCGUCCGCAGGUGGUUGGUCAAGUCUGCUGUCAAAGCGUGGAGCUUAACUCCAUAAGGGCGGUGGAAACUGAUUAACUAGAGGAUGGUAGGGGUCACGGGAAUUCCCAGUGUAGCGGUGAAAUGCGUAGAUAUUGGGAAGAACACCAGCGGCGAAAGCGCGUGACUGGGCCAUUACUGACACUCAUGGACGAAAGCUAGGGGAGCGAAAGGGAUUAGAUACCCCUGUAGUCCUAGCUGUAAACGAUGGACACUAGGUGUUGCCCGUAUCGACCCGGGCAGUGCCGUAGCCAACGCGUUAAGUGUCCCGCCUGGGGAGUACGCACGCAAGUGUGAAACUCAAAGGAAUUGACGGGGGCCCGCACAAGCGGUGGAGUAUGUGGUUUAAUUCGAUGCAACGCGAAGAACCUUACCAGGGUUUGACAUCCUUCGAAUCCUUGGGAAACCGAGGAGUGCCUUCGGGAGCGAAGAGACAGGUGGUGCAUGGCYGUCGUCAGCUCGUGUCGYGAGAUGUUGGGUUAAGUCCC